UGCAUUCACUACUGUAAAUCGCUCUGGAUAAGAGCGUCUGCUAAAUUAAUAAAU
rfam:Salmo salar isolate Sally breed double haploid chromosome ssa17, whole genome shotgun sequence.